CAUGAUCUGAACUGAAGGCAGACGUUUAUCCAACAGAAUCACCCAGAUUCAGGCUGGCUCUCUGCGCAUGCUCUCCAGACACUUGCCAAAACACUCUUGCCGCUGCCAUUGGGAGCACCCACGAGGAGCUGGCCACAGGGUGGAGAGAGAGAGCGCACAAGCAGGGGGAGCAGCAGGCUGAGGG